rnacentral:rRNA from 1 species
AUCGAACGCUGGCGGCAUGCCUUACACAUGCAAGUCGAACGGCAGCGCGGGCUUCGGCCUGGCGGCGAGUGGCGAACGGUUGAGUAAUGCAUCGGAACUUGCCCUGUAGUGGGGGAUAGCCCGGCGAAAGCCGGAUUAAUACCCCAUACGACCUGAGGGUGCAAGCGGGGGACCGAAAGUUCUCGCGCUAUUGGAGCGGCCGAAAUCGGUUGAGCUAGUUGGUUGGGUAAAUGCUUAACAAGGCGACGAUCCGUAGCUGGUAUGAGAGGACGACCAGCCACACGGGCUCUGAGGCACGGCCGAGACUCUUGCGGGGAGCAACAGUGGGGACUUUUGCACGAUGGAGCCAACCCUGAUCCUGCAAUGCCGCGUGCAGGAAGAUGGCCUUAGGGUGGUAAAGCGAUUUAGUUCGGGAGGUAGUACUCUGGGCUUAUACCCCGGGAUGAUGACGGUACCGGAAGAAUAAGCACCGGCUAACUCCGUG